AACAUGAAGGGAAUCAGAUCCUUUGAUUGAUCUCCUAACAAGACUAGACAUAAUGGGAGAAGACCACUCUCUCAGGGAAAAAUUCAGAUGUGUUAAUGGAAGAAGAAAAAAAGCUAUGUUGGCAAAAUAACAAAAUUCAAAAGGAUGUGGCAAAAACAACAUUGUUCAGUCAAUCUUUAUACUUCCAAAGAUAUCACCCUAUAUUGCUAUGUUUACCUGAGAAGAAAACAUAAAGAGCCUAUAUACUUAUUUUCCAAAGAAGCAAAGAAAAUGAGACCGGAACCCCAGGAGCUGGAGCGCUGGUGGAAACUACCAAGUGGAGAAGGCUGAGUCUGUGAGAGCUGCUGCAAAAUGAGAAGAUAAUGGAGACCAUGGUGAGCGAAGAGAGACCUAUGGAAAGAUCUAACAGCUGAGCUGUAUAAAGGCCCAGAUAGGUCCCCGGACCCAAGCCAUAAAUCAACAACUUGCCUUGAUGGCUAGCCAGGACUCUUGUCCUGCCACAGAUCUCCUCCUACUCAUCACUUCUGACCCCAGGGAGCAGUAAACAUGAAUCCUGACCCACCAGUGCAGCCCCAGAACUCAGAAGAGAGUCACUGCAGCUAAGCAGGAGGUAGAAAUAAAAACAAUGCCUCAAUUCGAUAAUAUUAAAUGUGCUGGGAAGACAGUCUUCAACAAAAAGGAUAAAUAACCUACAUAAUGAAGAAUUAGUUAGCAGUGUUAUGUAAAUAUUGUAGCAGCAUCAAUGAGGAGGUAAGCAGAAGUAUUUUAAGACACUAUAUUAUACAAUACACUGUGCACUGUUUCCUGGUGAUAAG